ACUCAAAUGAAUUGACGGGGACCCGCACAAGCAGCGGAGCGUGUGGUUUAAUUCGAUGCUACACGAAGAACCUUACCCAGGUUUGACAUACUGGUGGUAGUGAACCGAAAGGGGAACGACCCGCAAGGGAGCCAGUACAGGUGUUGCAUGGCUGUCGUCAGCUCGUGUCGUGAGAUGUUGGUUUAAGUACCCUAACGAGCGCAACCCUUGCUGCCAGUUACAAGUGUCUGGCGGGACUGCCGGCCACAAGCCGGAGGAAGGCGAGGAUGAUGUCAAGUCAGCAUGGCCUUUAUAUCUGGGGCUACACACACGCUACAAUGGGCAGGUACAAUGGGUUGCCAAGCCGCGAGGCGGAGCCAAUCCCACAAAACUGUCCUCAGUUCAGAUUGCAGGCUGCAACCCGCCUGCAUGAAGUCGGAGUUGCUAGUAAACGCGCGUCAGCUAUAGUGCGUUGAAUACGUUCCCGGGUCUUGUACACACCGCCCGU
rnacentral:rRNA from 1 species